rnacentral:rRNA from 1 species
AUUGAACGCUGGCGGCAGGCCUAACACAUGCAAGUCGAGCGGCAGCGGAAAGUAGCUUGCUACUUUGCCGGCGAGCGGCGGACGGGUGAGUAAUGUCUGGGAAACUGCCUGAUGGAGGGGGAUAACUACUGGAAACGGUAGCUAAUACCGCAUAACGUCUCAAGACCAAAGAGGGGGACCUUCGGGCCUCUUGCCAUCAGAUGCCCCCAGAGGGGAUUAGCUAGUAGGUGGGGUAACGGCUCACCUAGGCGACGAUCCCUAGCUGGUCUGAGAGGAUGACCAGCCACACUGGAACUGAGACACGGUCCAGACUCCUACGGGAGGCAGCAGUGGGGAAUAUUGCACAAUGGGCGCAAGCCUGAUGCAGCCAUGCCGCGUGUAUGAAGAAGGCCUUCGGGUUGUAAAGUACUUUCAGCGGGGAGAAAGGUGUUGAGGUUAAUAACCUCAGCAAUUGACGUUACCCGCAGAAGAAGCACCGGCUAACUCCGUGCCAGCCGCCGCAGUAAGAC